rnacentral:lncRNA from 13 species
AUGAAAAGACAACAGUCAGAAAGUUUAAUAACAGUAACUUCCACUAGUCACCAAUCAGUUAGCCUGACUUCAGAUCAGUUAGCCCCGGCUUCAGAUCAGUUAGCCCCGGCUUCAGAUCAGUUAGCCCCGGCUUCAGAUCAGUUAGCCCCGGCUUCAGAUCAGUUAGCCCGGCUUCAGAUCAGUUCAUAUAAACAUGAUGAUAUAACCUACUAUACAUCAGGGAGGUGUCCCAAAUGAACCUCUAAUCCCUUUAUAGUGAACUACAUUCGACCCGAGUCCUAUAAACUAGGGCCCAUUAGACUAGGGCUCUAAUGACUAGGGCUCAUGAGACGAGGGCUCUAAUGACAAGGGCUCAGUGGUCCACUUUAUGGAAAGGGAUGACUGGUUUAGAUGACAUUACCCUCAACUUGUUAAAAUGAAAAUAACCUUCAAUUCAUACUCUUC